CUUCUACAUUUAUAAUCAAACUAUAUUUACGAGCUAACUAUACAACUCUAUAAUCCCAUGACGAUUUUCUUCUAAUCGCCCAGGUAUGAACCUUCAUAUAAGUGACUUAGUGAGCUAUUUAUUGAAAUAAGCCCCGCCUUCUAACGUAAUAUUAAAUACAUACACGGUGUAUCAAUCAUAUUUCUAGAAAUUUAAGAAGGUAAGAUAAAAAUAAAAUACUAUUUCCACUAUCAUAUUGCUAUAAAUACAUUAAGCAAUAUACAUUUAGUAUAAAGCAUAUUGUAUUAAUAAGGAUUGUAAUUUGUACAAAAGCUAUCUGAUCUGCACAGUAAACACACAUAGAACAAAUUGUGUAGCUUUUCCCGUUAAAGCAUGGACACUCAGGAACUUUCUUUUUUCCAUAUAAGCACAAUUUUCUGAUAGUGACUUAUGUAUAAAUUAGAUUAUAAGAUACACCUUGCAUUAAUUUAGUUUAAACAUAUUUUAUUGUUAAAAAAUGACAAAGUGAUUAGACCCAACUUUUUAAACUUAGUAACGUCUAUUCCAUCUUGAGUUGCGCUCGGAAGAGUAGCAUAUUGUUAUGAUGAUGCCCCUUUAGCAAAAAGUAUUCUUUUGGAGGCUUUCACAGUUAAUUUACAAAUUUCUACUUAAGUAAUUAUAUUACAGAAAAGAAGAGCGUUCCUGUUCAUACCACAUGACAUACCAUGAACGAUAACUAUAAAACAUUAAUACACGUACGACAAUUGUCAUUAUAAUCAAUGUCAGUUUCUAUUUUUAUCCACAAUGUUAUAGUAAAAAGUAAGUAAACUAACAUACAUCUGCAGUGCAAGAAUAAAAAGUAACUGAAAAAAUAUAACUAAAAAUG
rnacentral:lncRNA from 1 species